CUUGAACGCUGGCGGCAGGCCUAACACAUGCAAGUCGAACGAGUGGCGGACGGGUGAGUAAUGUCUGGGAAACUGCCCGAUGGAGGGGGAUAACUACUGGAAACAGUAGCUAAUACCGCAUACCAUCGGAUGUGCCCAGAUGGGAUUAGCUAGUCGGUGGGGUAACGGCUCACCUAGGCGACGAUCCCUAUCUGGUCUGCCAGGAUGACCAGCCCACCGGGAACUGAGACACGGUACAGACUCCUAAGGGAGGCAGCAGUGGGGAAUAUUGCACAAUGGGCGCAAGGCUGAUGCAGCCAUGCCGCGUGUAUGAAGAAGGCCUUCGGGUUGUAAAGUACUUGCAGCGAGGAGGCGUUACGCGCAGAAGAAGCACCGGCUAACUCCGUGCCAGCAGCCGCGGUAAUUC
rnacentral:rRNA from 1 species